rfam:Brachypodium distachyon strain Bd21 chromosome 1, whole genome shotgun sequence.
UUACUACUUCCUCCGUCCAACGAAAGAUGUCUCAAGUUUGUUAAAAUUUGGAUGUAUCUAAACAUGACUUAGUGUAUAGAUGCAUUCAAAUUUAGUUAAAGUUGAAAACAUCUUUUGUUGGACGGAGGGAGUACUGU